GUGCUCAAUUCAGCAGCAUAUAUCCUAAAAUUAGAAUAGUACAGAGAUUAACAUGGUCCCUGUGCUAGGAUGGCAUGCAAAUUUGUGAAGUGUUCUGUAUUGUU